UACAGAGGGGGCAAGCGUUGUUCGGAAUUACUGGGCGUAAAGGGCGCGUAGGCGGCCUUCUAAGUCGAACGUGAAAUCCCCGGGCUCAACCCGGGAACUGCGUCCGAUACUGGAAGGCUUGAAUCCGGGAGAGGGAUGUGGAAUUCCAGGUGUAGCGGUGAAAUGCGUAGAUACCUGGAGGAACACCGGUGGCGAAGGCGACAUCCUGGACCGGUAUUGACGCUGAGGCGCGAAAGCCAGGGGAGCAAACGGG
rnacentral:rRNA from 1 species